CGGGAUGUCAAAAUCACUCUAUUUAGAGCA
rnacentral:sRNA from 1 species